CUACUAUGCAAAGUAGAAUCUUUUGUUGAGCUAGUAGUUACUAUUAGGAAUAAAAUGCUCAAUUUUAUGCGGGACGGCGGAAAAAAGAGAUUAAAAUUAAUCAAAAAUCUGACAUUUUUUUUUUUCAUAGCCAGAUAAGAUCAGCGAAUUAUGAAUUGUUACGCCAAGUUUUGGUGUCGAAUAAUGCCAAAGAUUUUUAUCUUCAAAGUAGUUACAGAUUAUGACGCGACUGUGAAGGUCAGAAUAAGCGAGCCGAUUAGAUUAGACGAAAGCUUAUCUCUUGUAUCGGCCCAGUACGUGGACACGGUAAAUUUAUUCAGAUAUCGGUCGAAGAGUGAAUAAUACCAGUCAUUGUAUCAUUUAUCGCCAGUAACAGGUGUAAAUGCGAAAAUACUUUAAUUCAAACGGUCUACGAGUCGUGACGAAGCAUACGUACCUUCGAGAUUCGUUAACACGCCCUGGUCUUGCAAUAGAUAGACCCGGUAUCUUAUAACAUAACAAUAAAACAUUUACCAUAAAAAGGAGUAUAGUUAUUCAUGGUCGGAUUCUUGAAAUGUUAUCAUUGCAAAAUUGACAAGAUCAUUUUGACAGCUAUUUUAUUAACCGUGAUAUCCGAAUGAUCUGUACUGGCAAACUAAAUGGUCAGAAUUGUAAUUUAAAAAUAAAUAGAGGAAAUGAAGAAACGUGAGUGCAAAAAUCAAAGUGAAGUCAUCAUGUCGAAAAGGCUUGUUCCACCGGAUGGAGGUUGGGGAUGGCUGAUCGUUGUAGCUUAUGCUAUAAACGGGAUGUGUACAAUUCCUGUAAUGCAAGGAUUCGGGCUGCUUUUCAGAGGCACCUGCGCGGACCUUGGCAUGUCUGGAACGGACAUUUCUAUUAUUUUAAAUGUUAACUCCGCUUGUGGGAUGGCCUUGGGCCUCGCUAAUGGUCCACUUCUUCGCUACUUUGGAUGCAGAAAAGUCGCGGUAUGUGCAGCCAUAUUCUACGCAUUAGGACUAACGCUAUGUGCCUGGGCAAACUCGUUUAUUUACUUCAUCAUCACCUACGGCGUUAUAUGCUCUAUCAGCACCUCCGUAAUGAAUUCGGCAUUUUCUCUAUCUCUGAACUCCUACUUCAUGAAAAAAAGAGGUCGAGCUGUGGGCUUGGCGAUGACUCUAAAUGGACUAGGCCCAAUUGUUGUACCCCAGUUAAUAUCGAUUCUGCUGUUGAAAUACGAUGUUACGGGAACAACUUUUAUCUUGGGCGGCUUGUGUCUUCACUUGCUGGUAGCAGCUCUUCUUUUGCAGCCAAUAGAAUGGCAUCUGAUAGAGGACACUCAGGAAUCAGACCCGGAAGCUAUGCCAAAGCUCGUCGAAACUGAGGAGAAAGGUAGAAAGAACAGCCGGCACAGCAUCAGCAGAUCUAACGAGGACAUAGUAGCAACUGAACGAAAACGCAUACUUACCAUGUCUAGCGUUGAUCACGAAGUUGAUUCCGGUAGCCUCUACGGCUUUGAAACCCUCGUGCCAAGAAAGCAGUCAAUAACUUACACGGUGAAUACAGCAGCCAAAAAACCAUAUAGAAGGAGUGUCAGCCAGGUAGACGGUUCGUCAACAACCACUACGCCUGUGGAACGUUCCGAUCCUACAUACAAAUGGUGGAGCUCUGGGAAAAGCUUGGACACAAUCAAUCUGGGUAGCAGCAUAAAGAUAUUCGAAGGUGGAAAAGACGAUGAGCGAAGGGCUAGUGAGUCCCAAGUCCUAAUGCAAAAGAAGAAGGUGGAAACUGUUCACGAGGAGGAGGAUGAUUUUGAGAAUGAUGAUGAUAAGCAGACAAACCGCGAACAGAAGGAGAUCAAAAACAAGAAGUCGAGAAUAAGUCGCAUGCUGCAUUCGGUGGUCGUCUUCUUCGAUUUAGAUCUACUUCGUGAUCCUGUCUACGUAAGCAUAAUGCUCGGCAUGUCGAUAGCGGUAUUUGCCGAGUUGAACUUUUCAAUUCUGACACCUUUCAUCCUAAGCGACAUGAGCUUGAACACGGAGCAGAUUGCUACGGUGAUGAGCUGUGUGGCAAUUACAGAUCUGAUCUUCAGAGCGCUCGCCCCAUUCAUUGGGGAGUUUCUCAAACAACCGCCUAGGGUCAUGUACCUUCUCAGUCUAAUCAUGCUGAUUGCCACGAGACUGAGUCUUUUCUUAGCUGGAAAUUUCCGAAGUGUUGUGAUCAUUGGAUUUGGUCUUGGCGUUGCGAAGGGGGUUCGAUCCGUUUACAUGUCAUUGACACUCGCCAGUUAUAUACCAAUAGAAAAACUCGCGUCAGCUACUGGGAUCCAAAUGGUGACCAACGGAAUCAUACUUUUAAUCCUUGGUCCUUUGCUCGGUCUUCUGAGGGACAAGACGGGAAACUACGACUUGUGCUUACUGUUCAUAAACGGGAUAACCAGUAUCACCGUGAUGAUGUGGACGUUGGAAAUAAUCGUACGUAAGAUAAUGAGUAGACGGUCAAAGAAUGCUGAAAAUAAUGAUGAAGCCAUCACAUCGUAGAAGACGGAAGCAGAAUUAUCAACUCAGGCUCUUUUCACUAUUUAACUGGGCCACGGUUCGCCAUACCUGCAUCGGUAAUCAUCAGCGUAGCGAAUAAAAUCUUCUCUAAGGUACCCACGGACUCUCUCAUUUACUCACCUUAACCUCAUAAGCGACAGAAAAAUAAAAAAAAAAGACGCAGCAAAACUUAAUCUUAGGUUUUACUGGUGCUCCAGACAUUUUUUAACCACUUUUUUCGGAUUUCUACGUUUCCCUGUGGUUUUUAUCUCACGUUUCGUAGGCCGUCGAAUUACACGCAGAGAAUCUCAAUGGUGGUCGAGAGGCAGGAAAGACAAUGUCAGUUUUUCUCAUCGACUUCCGGCUUGGAGUUCCCAUGAUAUUAAGUGCUCAACACGUCUGAAUAACAUUCCUCGAUCUCACUUCCUCUCGUCACUAACGCGGCUCAGGAUGAAACAAAAAACUCAAAAGCCAUCUCAGCUUCCUUGUCCAUUUGGGAAUCAAUAUACGGAUGGUAAUUGUGGUGGAUUAAAUGCUCAGAAGAGUAACCUGAAUAUGAGGAACAUCGACACGGCCACUUGCAGCACCUUCGUGUUCGAGAUCAUUGUAGUUAAGGCC